UUCCCAUCCCGAACAGAGAAGUUAAGCCUACUAGCGCAGAUGGUACUGCCACACGGUGGGAGAGUAUGUCGCCGCCUU
rnacentral:rRNA from 1 species